rnacentral:rRNA from 1 species
UUGGAGGGCAAGUCUGGUGCCAGCAGCCGCGGUAAUUCCAGCUCCAAUAGCGUAUAUUAAAGUUGUUGCAGUUAAAAAGCUCGUAGUUGAAUUUCGGGAUCAGUACGCCGGUCGUGCCUUCGGUAUGCACUGGUGUCACUGGUUUCUCCCUUCUGAAGAACCAUCAUGCCAUUCAGUUGGUGUGGCGGGAAAUCAGGACUGUUACUUUGAAAAAAUUAGAGUGUUUAAAGCAGGCUCGCGCUUGAAUACAUUAGCAUGGAAUAAUGAAAUAGGACGUUUGACCCUAUUUUGUUGGUUUCUAGGAUCGACGUAAUGAUUAAUAGGGAUAGUUGGGGGCAUUAGUAUUCAAUUGUCAGAGGUGAAAUUCUUGGAUUUAUUGAAGGCUAACUACUGCGAAAGCAUUUGCCAAGGAUGUUUUCAUUAAUCAAGAACGAAAGUUAGGGGAUCGAAGACGAUCAGAUACCGUCGUAGUCUUAACCAUAAACUAUGCCGACUAGGGAUCGGAUGAUGUUAAUUUUUUAAUGACUCAUUCGGCGCCUUACGGGAAAC